rnacentral:rRNA from 1 species
GACGAACCGUACGAACGUUAUUCGGAAUUACUGGGCUUAAAGGGUGCGUAGGCUGUGCAGAAAGUUGGGUGUGAAAUCCCUCGGCUUAACCGAGGAACGGCGCCCAAAACUACUGUGCUGGAGGAAGACAGAGGUGAGCGGAACUGAGGGUGGAGCGGUGAAAUGCGUUGAUAUCCUCAGGAACACCGGUGGCGAAAGCGGCUCACUGGGUCUUUUCUGACGCUGAGGCACGAAAGCUAGGGUAGCGAACGGG